GCAGAAAGGGCACUUUUCUCAUCCAGAACAAAGGGCAGGUGCUUGAGCACCACUAGGGGUCUAUCUGUGCACAUGCCUGCGCUCGCUCCGUGUGGAUCUCGCCGGGCAUCGCGCACUCUGCACCAGUGGAGCCCCUGCACUCCGCCUGACUCUCUGGCCAGAGCGACAUGGAAAGAGGAAGACGCAAGGAAAGAGAGAAAGAGAGAGUGAAAGAGAGAGAGAGAAGCCUGAGACACGGUGAACUUGACGAGACAUCUGGAACUGGGAUCUCUGGAACUCUGGAAAACUCAUUUAAUAUCAUCAGAUACUUUGCGGCUCCGAGGACACUCMCUUUGAAAMCGARAGCUCACUGCCUGUAGACGGAACAUGGAAGUUCGUCUGAUCGUGUUAACGAC